AGUUACCUGGGGUGUUCGACAAUCCUAUCAUUUUGAACCUACAUGUACUUUUAUGGGAUUCCUACAUUGCUGUGAAGGAUGUCAGGCCACCGAUUGCAGUGGAAGACAGAUGUCGCAGUUGCGGUUACCCACCUAGCUUUGCUAGGAGUCAAAAGAUAGGAAACGGCACUUUGGGGCUUAC
rfam:Robinsoniella sp. RHS robin_c19, whole genome shotgun sequence.